AGAACAUGGAAGUGCUAAAGGGAAAAGAUAUUUCUUAAUUCAGACAAAAGGCAAGAAAAACAUGUUCAGGACAAGUCACAAUUCAUGUUAAAAAAGAUUUUGACUUUGGUUUAUCCCUCCCAAGAGAGAUUGUGCCGUCAUCAGUCUGCAAACCAGGCUGCUAAGAUGCUCCAUCCCCAGGAACAGCAACCGACUCCUGCUUAUAUAUGCUCAGGGAUAUGCUUUAAUUAAAUAACUCCACAAAAUUGCAUUAUAAAGAGGAGAAAUGCUUUACCUUGUCUGUGUAGAUAAAGAACAGGGUGACCACAAUGAGCUCCAGGAGGAAUAUGAUCAGCAACAAGAUGAAAAACUAAAGAGAAAAGAAGGGCAAGUUUUUACUGUCAUCUUUCUACUCUGUAUUGUGGCUGCUAGUCGCUGUUGAUGGGAAUGAUGUACCUGCUUAGCCCAUUGACCCAGAGUAACAAGGACUCAAGGUGCAACCCCUAAAUGAAGAAAGCAUACUGUUGAAAGCCACCUACAGAAGGAUACAAUAUUUGUGAAGGAGACAUAGGGGCUCAUGUGGAGCAUCACCUGGUGCCUCUAGCAGUCAUAAUUUACAACUGACUGUCCAUGUUCUUGAGGAUCCUAUUGGGCCUUCCACCUUAUCUUCAUUAUGUUUUGUCAUCUUGCAGUAAAAGGUCACCAACAAUAAGCUAAUAUGGCAUUAUGUCAUGGAGUUGCUUUAAUAGAAUACUGUGGUCAAUAAACACUGUUCCUUUGCCUGAC